rnacentral:rRNA from 1 species
AAUGGACGCAAGUCUGAUCCAGCCAUGCCGCGUGAGUGAUGAAGGCCCUAGGGUCGUAAAGCUCUUUCGCCAGGGAUGAUAAUGACAGUACCUGGUAAAGAAACCCCGGCUAACUCCGUGCCAGCAGCCGCGGUAAUACGGAGGGGGUUAGCGUUGUUCGGAAUUACUGGGCGUAAAGCGCACGUAGGCGGAUUAUUAAGUUAGAGGUGAAAUCCCGGGGCUCAACCCCGGAACUGCCUUUAAUACUGGUAGUCUAGAGGUCGAGAGAGGUGAGUGGAAUUCCGAGUGUAGAGGUGAAAUUCGUAGAUAUUCGGAGGAACACCAGUGGCGAAGGCGGCUCACUGGCUCGAUACUGACGCUGAGGUGCGAAAGCGUGGGGAGCAAACAGGGUU